rnacentral:lncRNA from 1 species
UCCUUCUUCAUAUUCAUCAGCUCCGGUGUGUAGCCUGAGCGAUUUUAACUUUAUCGAUAAAAGUCGAUUAUACUCGUAUAUCAUCACGUGGGUACCUAGAGUUUUCAUCUCCAUCUCUAAUAUUUGUAAGUUAUACGAAAUGAGUCUUUGACAAUAUCGUACUCGUACUCGUAUACGAUCUUUUACUCAACACGUCAGCUACCAC